AGUAUACAAUUUAUUUCUCCAUGGGCAACAAGACAUGCCAGCAACUGCACGGCUACUUCUCCAUUUAGCCACUAUCCCAGAGAAUUCUGCCACCUUCCAGAGCCAACUGUUUUCCCCUUUCUCUGCGUUUGAUAGAAAAGAAAGAUAAGAAAUAAAUAGGGCUUAAUUUCCCAAACCAUUUAUGUAGUUUUUCCUCCUUUUCAGGACAGAGAAUAAAGGGUCCCUGUAUUCAUGCCUUCCUGGAAAUCUCAGUGCAAGGCCCUAUCAGGAGGUUUCCUGGAGCAGCUAAGGGAACAGCUAGACCACCCAGGAAGAAAUGACAGAAGCCUACCUGACUUCCAAUCUGCUUGCUUCAUGGUGUAAUGGGGGCCUAGACAGAAGCACCCCAAGGACACUUACAACAACUGUUCUGCCAGCUCUAGUCCAUUGGAGAAGAUGUGCCAACAUACCUUCUCACCAUCCCUAGAGCCCAACCUUGCUAUGGAAAGGUCAAACCCUUACCAUUGGCCCUGCCAAGGAUCCCCAGACAGAGAAGCACAAUGGAGGCCAUAAAUUAUGGCUUCUUAUCAUGGCCUCCACAUAACUUAAACUCUGGAUGGUGAAUGAAAUCUGGGGCCAAGUCUUAAAGGGUCAGGGUAGCCAAUGAGCAUAACUCAAUAUUUGUGUUUCUAAGAGAAAACCACAGAACCUCCAUAUCCAUGGCAAACUGGCCAGCCACAGGCUGGAUCCAGUGUGCAGUAGUGUUUUGUGUACACCAUUCACUAUUUGUCUACUUGGGUUAAAAAUGUUUUAUAUUAGUUAGCAAUGUUUAAACAUUGGGAGAAUUAAAGGGAAAUGAAAACGUACUUCCCACAAAUACUUGCACAUAAAUAUUCACAGCAGCAUUGUUUAUAAUUGCCCAAAACUAGAAACAACCCAAAUAUCCAUCAACUGAUGAAUGAUAAACAAGUUGUGGUAUAUUCAUCCAAUAAAACAAUAUUCAGCAAUAAAAAUAAACAAAUCAGGCACUUAAUAUAAUUGAAUAUCAAGGUCAUUAUGUUGAGUGAAAGAGGCCAGAAAAUAAAAGUAUACACUAUUUGAUUCCAUUUAUAUAAUAUUCUAGAAAAUGAAAACCAGUCUAUACUUACAGAAAACAAGGUGGUAGCUUACAGAGAUGGGGUAGAGGGAGGGAGAGAUGACAGAGAGGCAUAAAAAAACUUUCCGGACAAUGAAAAUGUUCUGUAUUUUAAUUGUGGUGAUGGUUUCAUGGAUGUACAAGUUCAUCAAAUCUCAUCAAGUUAAAUAUAUGCAUUUAUUUUAUAUUAAGUGUACCUCAAUAAAGCAGAAAAAUUUAAAAUUG
rnacentral:lncRNA from 1 species